rnacentral:hammerhead_ribozyme from 1 species
AUUCAGCUGACGAGUCCCAAAUAGGACUGAAACGUGCAUCAAACUGGAU